rnacentral:rRNA from 1 species
GACGUAGGGCGCAAGCGUUGUCCGGAUUUAUUGGGCGUAAAGAGCUCGUAGGCGGCUCGUUGCGUCGGCUGUGAAAACCCGCAGCUCAACUGUGGGCUUGCAGCCGAUACGGGCGGGCUGGAGUUCGGUAGGGGAGACGUGGAAUUCCUGGUGUAGCGGUGAAAUGCGCAGAUAUCAGGAGGAACACCGGUGGCGAAGGCGGGUCUCUGGGCAGUAACUGACGCUGAGGAGCGAAAGCGUGGGGAGCGAACAGG